AUCCGGCUGAGGAGUCCCAAAUAAGAUGAAACGCGUGUUCUGGAU
rfam:Schistosoma rodhaini strain Burundi genome assembly, scaffold: SROB_scaffold0010070